AUUGAACGCUGGCGGAAUGCUUUACACAUGCAAGUCGAGCGGCAGCGCGGGGCAACCUGGCGGCGAGCGGCGAACGGGUGAGUAAUGUAUCGGAACGUGUCCUGUCGUGGGGGAUAGCCCGGUGAAAACCGGAUUAAUACCGCAUACGAUCGAGAGAUGAAAGUGGGGGACCGCAAGGCCUCACGCGAUAGGAGCGGCCGAUAUCUGAUUAGCUAGUUGGUGGGGUAAAGGCCCACCAAGGCUUCGAUCAGUAGCUGGUCUGAGAGGAUGAUCAGCCACACUGGGACUGAGACAUGGCCCAGACUCCUACGGGAGGCAGCAGUGGGGAAUUUUGGACAAUGGGGGCAAGCCUGAUCCAGCCAUGCCGCGUGUCUGAAGAAGGCCUUCGGGUUGUAAAGGACUUUUGUCCGGGAGCAAAUACCCAGUGCUAAUAACGCUGGGGGCUGAGAGUACCGGAAGAAUAAGCACCGGCUAACUACGUGCCAGCAGCCGCAGUAACAC
rnacentral:rRNA from 1 species